CGAAGGGGGCGAGCGUUGUUCGGAAUUACUGGGCUUAAAGCGUGCGUAGGCGGAUUGGAAAGUCAGAAGUGAAAUCCCGGGGCUUAACCCCGGAACUGCUUUUGAAACUUCCAGUCUUGAAUUCGGAAGAGGUUGGCGGAAUAUCCAGUGUAGAGGUGAAAUUCGCAGAUAUUGGAUAGAACACCGGUGGCGAAGGCGGCCAACUGGUCCGACAUUAACGCUGAGGCACGAAAGCGUGGGGAGCAAACAGGAUUAGAUACCCUGGUAGUCCACGCCUUAAACUAUGUGUGCUAGUUGUUGGGAACCUCAGGUUCUCGGCGACGCAGCGAAAGCGUUAAGCACACCGCCUGGGGAGUACGGUCGCAAGAUUA
rnacentral:rRNA from 1 species